UGAAGAAAACCAGUUCUCUAAAGGUGGGU
rnacentral:piRNA from 1 species